rnacentral:lncRNA from 10 species
CUGGGACCCACAGGAAUUCCCUCCCUUCAGUCCCGGGGGGAGGCGGCCGCGAUCCUGGGGGAGGCGCAGCCUCACAACCCGGACUUUGCGGGCGGGCGGGCACUGGUGAGAAGAGGAAGUGGGAGAGGCCUGGGAAGGAAACUUGGAAACCGAAAACUCGGCGGCCGAGGCUCCGUGCCCCGCGCGCAGCGCUGCUCCUGCCCCGGCCAAGGACGCACGGGCCAGCCGGCGGAACCAGAGGUUUUCAGUGAUGUUGAGAGUCAACAGGAAAUUAAUCAGCAAGUAGAAAAUUGAAAGAAGAUCUGCAUCUUACUGCAGGAGUCAUUAAAAUAAAAGCAGAUUUGGCAAAAUGGCAAGAACCAGAGGAUGAGGAUGUAAAACAAAAACUUUUGGAGUCAUUUUGCCACCAGGAUGAAAAUAGGAUGAAGCUGACAUGACAAAGGUGUUCUGAUAUGAGAAGAACUUCUUCAGAAGGUAUCUUAAUGCAUAUGGGGAAACUGAGGCCCAGUUGUCAUAGCCUUCUCCAGCAUGUGUUCCUUCUGUAUUUCAGACAUGGCAGAGGAGACACAGCAAUAACUAAGGGGCAACUAUUGCAUCCAGAAAAAAAAAAAAUGAAGAUAAUGACUUCUCUGCAACUAAGAUGAAGAUCCACUGAACUUUGGGGUUUGAAAUGCAACGUUAGAACUUCAGACUCCCGGCACCUAGGUCUCCAGCUGCUGGGUGGUGCCAGCAUCAGAGAUACACUCUGCAAAACAUAUACUGUCUUAGGAAAAAGUGACCCUGUUGUCCUUUCAGGCCCAUAUUCCACAAGAAGACAAAUGGAGAUGUAAAAGGAAAACUGCAGCUCCGACUGAAGAGAGAGCAAGUUGUCUGUUCUGAUACAGCCAGGAAAUAAGAUGUUCUGGUUAAUAUGUGCUAAAGAUGUGGUGCUGACUUUCCGACUCAGAAUAUGAUCACAUGUUUUUCUCAUUAAAACUAUAUUGAAUAUUAUUUGACCAUUGUUGAGUCAGUCAUCUUGAUAAAUAUUAUCUUCGUACAGUCCUGAGCAGAGAGUCAGUGACUAGAAUGCCACUGAAACCAGCUUUUUAUAGGACACGGUUUUCAUGGUUUUAGGGCAUGGAGAAACUU